CACAAGCUGAGCCAUGUACUGCGGUUAGCUUUGCUCUUCGGAACACCUCUGAAGUACAGGUCACCAUGGUAACUGUUGCCUAAGUCGUUUCUCAGGAACUUGGAGGUUCACUUUUUUACUGUCUCCAACCAAGUAAAACCAAGGACCCUUUCCUCAGCCUGCACAGAAUCUUCUAAUUUAGAAACACAGACUUCAACAAGCCAUAGGAAGGACUGCUACCUGAGACAGAGCUGUCAAUCAUGCUAAAGCACAUAACACACUGAAAACUUCAUGAGACUCAAAGUAUCAUCUUUCUGUUUGCCAGAUUCUGAAAACUGGAAAUUCAACAAAUUUUCCAGAGACACAAGACAAAGCAGAGUCUUUCACCUAUCCUUUGGAACCUGUCAUAAAAUCAAACCAUUACCCCAAACCCAACAAUGUAUAAUUACCAUCUUGGAAUUUGAUAAAAUCAAUUGUAUAACCUAGACAAGAGAUUUAACCAAUGAUAAAUUUGAUUCUUUUUUCUAAA